rnacentral:rRNA from 1 species
CGGCGGACGGGCGAGUAAUGUCUGGGAAACUGCCUGAUGGAGGGGGGAUAACUACUGGAAACGGUAGCUAAUACCGCAUAACGUCGCAAGACCAAAGAGGGGGACCUUCGGGCCUCUUGCCAUCAGAUGUGCCCAGAUGGGAUUAGCUAGUAGGUGGGGUAACGGCUCACCUAGGCGACGAUCCCUAGCUGGUCUGAGAGGAUGACCAGCCACACUGGAACUGAGACACGGUCCAGACUCCUACGGGAGGCAGCAUG